rnacentral:rRNA from 1 species
AUUGAACGCUGGCGGCAGGCUUAACACAUGCAAGUCGAACGAGGGGCGGGCGGGAGAGUAAUGCGUGGGAAUCUAGCUUGGGGAGGGGGAUAAAUACGGAAAACUGUCGCAAAUACCGCAUACCAUAGGAUGAGCCCAAGGGGGAUUAGGUAGUUGGUGAGGUAACGGCUCACCAAGCCGACGAUCUCUAGCUGGUCUGAGAGGAUGACCAGCCACACUGGGACUGAGACACGGCCCAGACUCCUACGGGAGGCAGCAGUGGGGAAUAUUGCGCAAUGGGGGCAACCUGACGCAGCCAUGCCGCGUGAAUGAAGAAGGCCUUCGGGUUGUAAAGUUCUUUCGGUAGCGAGGCGUUAACUACAGAAGAAGCACCGGCUAACUCCGUGCCAGCAGCCGCGGUAAUUC